GUGGGUAUAGCUCACUGGCAGAGUGUGUGCUCAGCAUGCACAAGGUCCUGGGUUCAAUCCCCAGUACCUCA
rnacentral:tRNA from 1 species